ACGCUGGCGGCAGGCUUAACACAUGCAAGUCGAGCGCCCCGCAAGGGGAGCGGCAGACGGGUGAGUAACGCGUGGGAACGUGCCCUUUGGUUCGGAACAACUCCGGGAAACUGGAGCUAAUACCGGAUAAGCCCUUCGGGGGAAAGAUUUAUCGCCAAAGGAUCGGCCCGCGUCUGAUUAGCUAGUUGGUGAGGUAAUGGCUCACCAAGGCGACGAUCAGUAGCUGGUCUGAGAGGAUGAUCAGCCACACUGGGACUGAGACACGGCCCAGACUCCUACGGGAGGCAGCAGUGGGGAAUAUUGGACAAUGGGCGCAAGCCUGAUCCAGCCAUGCCGCGUGAGUGAUGAAGGCCUUAGGGUUGUAAAGCUCUUUUGUCCGGGAAGAUAAUGACUGUACCGGAAGAAUAAGCCCCGGCUAACUUCGUG
rnacentral:rRNA from 1 species